UACGUAGGGUGCGAGCGUUGUCCGGAAUUAUUGGGCGUAAAGAGCUCGUAGGCGGCUUGUCGCGUCGGAUGUGAAAGCCCGGGGCUUAACCCCGGGUCUGCAUUCGAUACGGGCAGGCUAGAGUGUGGUAGGGGAGAUCGGAAUUCCUGGUGUAGCGGUGAAAUGCGCAGAUAUCAGGAAGAACACCCGUGGCGAAGGCGGCUCUCUGGAACGCAACUGACGCUGAGACGCGAAAGCGUGGGGAGCAAACAGG
rnacentral:rRNA from 1 species